GGGUUGUGAGGUUAAGCGACUAAGCGUACACGGUGGAUGCCCUGGCAGUCAGAGGCGAUGAAGGACGUGCUAAUCUGCGAUAAGCGUCGGUAAGGUGAUAUGAACCGUUAUAACCGGCGAUUUCCGAAUGGGGAAACCCAGUGUGUUUCGACACACUAUCAUUAACUGAAUCCAUAGGUUAAUGAGGCGAACCGGGGGAACUGAAACAUCUAAGUACCCCGAGGAAAAGAAAUCAACCGAGAUUCCCCCAGUAGCGGCGAGCGAACGGGGAGCAGCCCAGAGCCUGAAUCAGUAUGUGUGUUAGUGGAAGCGUCUGGAAAGGCGCGCGAUACAGGGUGACAGCCCCGUACACAAAAAUGCACAUGCUGUGAGCUCGAUGAGUAGGGCGGGACACGUGGUAUCCUGUCUGAAUAUGGGGGGACCAUCCUCCAAGGCUAAAUACUCCUGACUGACCGAUAGUGAACCAGUACCGUGAGGGAAAGGCGAAAAGAACCCCGGCGAGGGGAGUGAAAAAGAACCUGAAACCGUGUACGUACAAGCAGUGGGAGCACGCUUAGGCGUGUGACUGCGUACCUUUUGUAUAAUGGGUCAGCGACUUAUAUUCUGUAGCAAGGUUAACCGAAUAGGGGAGCCGAAGGGAAACCGAGUCUUAACUGGGCGUUAAGUUGCAGGGUAUAGACCCGAAACCCGGUGAUCUAGCCAUGGGCAGGUUGAAGGUUGGGUAACACUAACUGGAGGACCGAACCGACUAAUGUUGAAAAAUUAGCGGAUGACUUGUGGCUGGGGGUGAAAGGCCAAUCAAACCGGGAGAUAGCUGGUUCUCCCCGAAAGCUAUUUAGGUAGCGCCUCGUGAAUUCAUCUCCGGGGGUAGAGCACUGUUUCGGCAAGGGGGUCAUCCCGACUUACCAACCCGAUGCAAACUGCGAAUACCGGAGAAUGUUAUCACGGGAGACACACGGCGGGUGCUAACGUCCGUCGUGAAGAGGGAAACAACCCAGACCGCCAGCUAAGGUCCCAAAGUCAUGGUUAAGUGGGAAACGAUGUGGGAAGGCCCAGACAGCCAGGAUGUUGGCUUAGAAGCAGCCAUCAUUUAAAGAAAGCGUAAUAGCUCACUGGUCGAGUCGGCCUGCGCGGAAGAUGUAACGGGGCUAAACCAUGCACCGAAGCUGCGGCAGCGACACUAUGUGUUGUUGGGUAGGGGAGCGUUCUGUAAGCCUGUGAAGGUGUGCUGUGAGGCAUGCUGGAGGUAUCAGAAGUGCGAAUGCUGACAUAAGUAACGAUAAAGCGGGUGAAAAGCCCGCUCGCCGGAAGACCAAGGGUUCCUGUCCAACGUUAAUCGGGGCAGGGUGAGUCGACCCCUAAGGCGAGGCCGAAAGGCGUAGUCGAUGGGAAACAGGUUAAUAUUCCUGUACUUGGUGUUACUGCGAAGGGGGGACGGAGAAGGCUAUGUUGGCCGGGCGACGGUUGUCCCGGUUUAAGCGUGUAGGCUGGUUUUCCAGGCAAAUCCGGAAAAUCAAGGCUGAGGCGUGAUGACGAGGCACUACGGUGCUGAAGCAACAAAUGCCCUGCUUCCAGGAAAAGCCUCUAAGCAUCAGGUAACAUCAAAUCGUACCCCAAACCGACACAGGUGGUCAGGUAGAGAAUACCAAGGCGCUUGAGAGAACUCGGGUGAAGGAACUAGGCAAAAUGGUGCCGUAACUUCGGGAGAAGGCACGCUGAUAUGUAGGUGAAGUCCCUCGCGGAUGGAGCUGAAAUCAGUCGAAGAUACCAGCUGGCUGCAACUGUUUAUUAAAAACACAGCACUGUGCAAACACGAAAGUGGACGUAUACGGUGUGACGCCUGCCCGGUGCCGGAAGGUUAAUUGAUGGGGUUAGCCGCAAGGCGAAGCUCUUGAUCGAAGCCCCGGUAAACGGCGGCCGUAACUAUAACGGUCCUAAGGUAGCGAAAUUCCUUGUCGGGUAAGUUCCGACCUGCACGAAUGGCGUAAUGAUGGCCAGGCUGUCUCCACCCGAGACUCAGUGAAAUUGAACUCGCUGUGAAGAUGCAGUGUACCCGCGGCAAGACGGAAAGACCCCGUGAACCUUUACUAUAGCUUGACACUGAACAUUGAGCCUUGAUGUGUAGGAUAGGUGGGAGGCUUAGAAGUGUGGACGCCAGUCUGCAUGGAGCCGACCUUGAAAUACCACCCUUUAAUGUUUGAUGUUCUAACGUUGACCCGUAAUCCGGGUUGCGGACAGUGUCUGGUGGGUAGUUUGACUGGGGCGGUCUCCUCCUAAAGAGUAACGGAGGAGCACGAAGGUUGGCUAAUCCUGGUCGGACAUCAGGAGGUUAGUGCAAUGGCAUAAGCCAGCUUGACUGCGAGCGUGACGGCGCGAGCAGGUGCGAAAGCAGGUCAUAGUGAUCCGGUGGUUCUGAAUGGAAGGGCCAUCGCUCAACGGAUAAAAGGUACUCCGGGGAUAACAGGCUGAUACCGCCCAAGAGUUCAUAUCGACGGCGGUGUUUGGCACCUCGAUGUCGGCUCAUCACAUCCUGGGGCUGAAGUAGGUCCCAAGGGUAUGGCUGUUCGCCAUUUAAAGUGGUACGCGAGCUGGGUUUAGAACGUCGUGAGACAGUUCGGUCCCUAUCUGCCGUGGGCGCUGGAGAACUGAGGGGGGCUGCUCCUAGUACGAGAGGACCGGAGUGGACGCAUCACUGGUGUUCGGGUUGUCAUGCCAAUGGCACUGCCCGGUAGCUAAAUGCGGAAGAGAUAAGUGCUGAAAGCAUCUAAGCACGAAACUUGCCCCGAGAUGAGUUCUCCCUGACUCCUUGAGAGUCCUGAAGGAACGUUGAAGACGACGACGUUGAUAGGCCGGGUGUGUAAGCGCAGCGAUGCGUUGAGCUAACCGGUACUAAUGAACCGUGAGGCUUAACCUUACAACGCCGAAGGUGUUU
rnacentral:rRNA from 1 species